UAUAGAUAUUUGUUUCUAACCCAUGCUCCAGAUUUGCUACAAGAGCUUAACUUGUCUUCCAACCUGUUGGAGUCAGUGUCUGACACCAUUGGACUGCUGCAAAAUAAGGUUGUAGGUGUCUUUGGCAACAAGCUUGCUGCUCUUCUCGACUCUUAUUUGGUAACAAGAUCCUCUAGUUUUGUCUUCAUAUGGUUUAUUUAGGAGACUUCAAUCUUGUUCUUUUCUUUUGCUAUUGUAUAUGGAGAAGUUUAGGCCAUAUGUCCCCUUCUCCCUACUCUUUG
rnacentral:lncRNA from 1 species